GCUCUACAGUUUAAUUUUUUAAAAAGCGACAAAAAUGUUGGGUUGGCAUUGCCAAGCUCCUAACGUCCCAUUUCCUCUCUCUCCCGUGACUUUCAUCAAACAACUUCCCAUCAUAAAAACAAAAAACAUUUCCUCUUCACACAAUCACCGCAGAAUCGCUAACUACGGCCGCCGUUACCAGAACUCAUAAUUCUUCUUGUUCCGGUACCUUCAUUUGCCGCCAGAAAGACCAAAUCCGCCCCUAUGUUGAUACUCUUCUUCAGUGGAACCAGAUGCGUCAUACACACACAAGAACAUAAAAUUUAACUGUCUGAAUAAUAACAUUUUUAGUGUCCUUUAGACACAUUGUAGCUGCCAAAAUUUGUGUUUGACUUUAUGUUUUUGGGUAUUUGCUCUUUCAUCACUUCUUGCUAUAGGACAGAAUUUAGGGAAGAAAGUUUCUUUUAGAGAGAAAUUUGAUGUAGCAGUAGCCAGAGCAGUGGCAGAAAUGAGAAUUUUAGCGGGGUGUUGUCUUUAUUUGGUUCGCGAUGGUGGGUUGUUCAUAGCUGCAAAAGGCUAUGAUCCUCAAGUGUGAAUCUUUUUCAGAUCUCAAGCGUCAACCCUCAAGUGUGAAUCUAUGAUCCUCAGGUGUUGACAAAUUGAUAUUGUAUAUUUUAUUGUCGUUGAUAGAAGUUCUUAAUGGUUUACUUAUAAGGAGGAAGCCCAUAUAUGUUCUAAUUAGUUGCUUUCUAGAGUUUCAAGUUCUGAACAGGAAAAGUUUCUCCAGCAAUCUAUUUGUAGCUCAUGGAUUGUCUCUCUGUUUGUCAGUGGUUACCUUGGAAUCUGUGAUUUAACAUGUCACUCACCACUCAUAGAAGCUAAAGAUUGGGUUUUAUAAAUUCUCGAAGGACUCUGAUUAAUGAUACACUGCUGGUAUAAUAAAAGCCUUGUUUAUAGACUGAAGGAAAAAAUUUUAAUUAAGUUCAAAACUUCAAUACCAUACUAGGUAGAGGUUAUUACAAUAAUCUGAUGCCCAUCACCUUCAAGUACUUUUGUGCUUUUUAAUGGCUCUAAUCUCAGAAUGAAUAGCCUGCUGUAUACAUAAUGUUUUUCUUAAUCUGUCGAAUACAUGAGGUAUCACUAAUCUUCCUAUAUGUAGCAGGAGGAAGUAAGAAAUGCAGAGAGGUCACUCCAAUUGAUGGGCGAAUCAGUAUUGCAACUGCGCUCAGGUACUAUUGCUGUAUUAUCAAUUCAGGCCACUCAAUUUUCAUUCAUUGAUUUAAUUAAUCUUUUGAUAUGUAUAUGUGACGACUUAUAUUUCUGCUUGAUAUUAUACAACGUUUAUUCAAGGCAUCAACUAAAACUUGUAAAUUUGCUCAUAAGAACAGAGCAACUUGGCUUUUAUUUUGGAGUUUGUAGAACAUGCUGUGUUUAUAGUUUCGAGGGAGAAAUAACGUCUCCAAAGUUGAGGAACUAUAUGUCUGAAGUGAUCUGUCUGAAAACUGAAAAUAAGACAAACACGAAGCUCCCUUUCUGUGGAUUCCUUAAGGGCGGUUUUCCUGUAGAAUCAAUCCUGAUUCAUGAGCUAAAAAUAUUCAGGACGAGUUCAAGCAGGUGAAAAGAACUGCACAGCAAGGAAGCAAGGAGAAUCUCUUUGGAAGCCUAAACUCUUUGGUAUCUUGCAAUAUUUAGAAUCAACUUUUCUCAUUAUGCAACACAGUUGCAGAUCCAUACUUCCUGCUUGCAAAUUAAUGAAUUUUUUCUUGCAGCUCCUUGCUCAUCAAAUCAUCUGUCAUUGAGUAAUCAAGGGAAUUUGGUUCAUGUACACAAAUGUGCAUAUGCAUAUGCCUCAAUAAAUCUUAUAUUAUGUGAAAUAAGUUACAAAUUGUCGAUUUCUAUUAUACUUUAACUAUACCUGAUAAAUUAGUAGGAACGGUGUGAUUUAAGUAUCACUAACUUGUAAGAAGCAAUUUGGUUUUCUAUUUGCAUGCGGUUUUUAUUUUAGCAUUACGUGCAAGAAAACGUAAUAAUCAAAUGAAAUAAUUCAAAUAGGGUAGCUAUGAGGAUAAUCCCUAAUAGUAAUUCAAUUAUGGACUGAUGCGGCAGUUCGUCUCUCAUUUGCAUAAUGGUAGAGGGACCUCAUGUUUCACUAUGGCAUCUUCCAUGCCAGUUGUCAGGGCAUCAUUGCUGAUGACAGCCAUUGAUUUGAGCAUUCAACUGUUCAAGUUUUUUGUAAGUUUAUAUACUCAGGUAAAUGUCAUUAUUUGUGGACAAUAGUUGACUGCUUGCUUUUAUUUAUUUCAUAGUUAGGUUAAAAGUCUCUUUUCUUUUUGUUUGAUAAUCUUUCUCUUCCAUGUGGUGAUGGCAUUAUGGGAACACGUUACCCAAGUUUAGGGAGGUAGAAAGUUUGAGGAGAUUAAAGAGAAGGACAGUGUUAUAUAUAUUUUUAAGGGAUUUAUUAGACGAGUCUCACAUCUUCAGAUCCCUCUAAUAUCCUCUGCCUAAAAUAAAGGAGUGGCUUUUGAAACCAGGGUACCAGCGGGAAGAGUAGGCUAGAAUAAUGGCCGUCUAGGAAAAAACGACUUUUACCUAACUUACUCUUCCACUUGUAACUUCUUUAAGUAGGUCAAACCACUGAUGAUUCUUAUAAAGGAUAAUUAAUCUCAAGAUAUCUAGGAUAGAUAUACCUUAAACACUGCAUAUGCCUUGGCAGAUUAAUUAUAUGUAAAGAAAGCCACUUUCCCAUUUAAUAUUUAAUCAUUUUGCCUUUCUUUAUUCUAUUUGGUUUCUCUAUUGUUUUCAUCUACAAUAAUAUAAUGUCUAAAAUGUUUCGUUGUCAAAAUAUUUCGUUUGUCUGUCAUAUUUAUGAAUCUUUUAAUUCCCACUAUCACCUUACAAGAAAGGAACUUGCUUCUUAUGACAAAAAUUGAGAGUGAUGGAACUUUUCUGUAUUCAUUUGCUUCGCUUAUUUUUUCUGCCAUUGGUUCUUUCUUCUAUCGCAUGCAACUGCCUUGGAAAAAACAUCUUCACUUGAAUUAUAUACAACCCUUUUCCUCUACAUUAUUUUUCAAUUUUAGCAGGAAAUUAAGGAGAGGACUACCAUAUUGGAGUUAUUGGGAUGAAUAUAGACUUCUUGAUAUUGCGAUUCUUUACUGUUGCAGAACCCCCAUGCUUCAACCUCAUCAAAGAAGAAAUAAGGUCAGCUACCUGGAAGAUUUCUUGUAUAUCUGUAAUUCACUUAUGCUUCCUGGUUGUUAUGAAUAUGAAAGCUUACUUUAGCCUCUCCACUCAUGGGGAAACCUUUUUAUUGAAUAGGAUAAAGUAGCUCAAUGUUUAUUUUUUA